rnacentral:rRNA from 1 species
UACGUAGGGUGCAAGCGUUGUCCGGAAUUAUUGGGCGUAAAGGGCUCGUAGGCGGCCAACUAAGUCAGACGUGAAAUCCCUCGGCUUAACCGGGGAACUGCAUCUGAUACUGGAUGGCUUGAGUUCGGGAGAGGGAUGUGGAAUUCCAGGUGUAGCGGUGAAAUGCGUAGAUAUGCGGAGGAACACCGAUGGCGAAGGCAAUCCCCUGGGCCUGCACUGACGCUCAUGCACGAAAGCGUGGGGAGCAAACAGG